UCCGGAAUUAUUGGGCGUAAAGCGUCCGCAGGUGGCUGUUCAAGUCUGCUGUCAAAGCGCAGAGCUUAACUCUGUACAGGCGGUGGAAACUGAAGAGCUAGAGUAUGGUAGGGGUAGAGGGAAUUCCCGGUGUAGCGGUGAAAUGCGUAGAUAUCGGGAAGAACACCAGUGGCGAAAGCGCUCUACUGGGCCAUAACGGACACUGAGGGACGAAAGCUAGGGGAGCGAAAGGG
rnacentral:rRNA from 1 species